rnacentral:rRNA from 1 species
UUAACACAUGCAAGUCGAGGGGCAUCAGGAAGAAAGCUUGCUUUCUUUGCUGGCGACCGGCGCACGGGUGAGUAACACGUAUCCAACCUGCCCUUUACUCGGGGAUAGCCUUUCGAAAGAAAGAUUAAUACCCGAUAGCAUAAUGAUUCCGCAUGGUUUCAUUAUUAAAGGAUUCCGGUAAAGGAUGGGGAUGCGUUCCAUUAGGUUGUUGGUGAGGUAACGGCCCACCAAGCCUUCGAUGGAUAGGGGUUCUGAGAGGAAGGUCCCCCACAUUGGAACUGAGACACGGUCCAAACUCCUACGGGAGGCAGCAGUGAGGAAUAUUGGUCAAUGGGCGCUAGCCUGAACCAGCCAAGUAGCGUGAAGGAUGAAGGCUCUAUGGGUCGUAAACUUCUUUUAUAUAAGAAUAAAGUGCAGUAUGUAUACUGUUUUGUAUGUAUUAUAUGAAUAAGGAUCGGCUAACUCCGUGCCAGCAGCCGCGGUAAUACGGAGGAUCCGAGCGUUAUCCGGAUUUAUUGGGUUUAAAGGGAGCGUAGGUGGACUGGUAAGUCAGUUGUGAAAGUUUGCGGCUCAACCGUAAAAUUGCAGUUGAUACUGUCAGUCUUGAGUACAGUAGAGGUGGGCGGAAUUCGUGGUGUAGCGGUGAAAUGCUUAGAUAUCACGAAGAACUCCGAUUGCGAAGGCAGCUCACUGGACUGCAACUGACACUGAUGCUCGAAAGUGUGGGUAUCAAACAGGAUUAGAUACCCUGGUAGUCCACACAGUAAACGAUGAAUACUCGCUGUUUGCGAUAUACAGUAAGCGGCCAAGCGAAAGCAUUAAGUAUUCCACCUGGGGAGUACGCCGGCAACGGUGAAACUCAAAGGAAUUGACGGGGGCCCGCACAAGCGGAGGAACAUGUGGUUUAAUUCGAUGAUACGCGAGGAACCUUACCCGGGCUUAAAUUGCAGUGGAAUGAUGUGGAAACAUGUCAGUGAGCAAUCACCGCUGUGAAGGUGCUGCAUGGUUGUCGUCAGCUCGUGCCGUGAGGUGUCGGCUUAAGUGCCAUAACGAGCGCAACCCUUAUCUUUAGUUACUAACAGGUUAUGCUGAGGACUCUAGAGAGACUGCCGUCGUAAGAUGUGAGGAAGGUGGGGAUGACGUCAAAUCAGCACGGCCCUUACGUCCGGGGCUACACACGUGUUACAAUGGGGGGUACAGAAGGCAGCUAGCGGGUGACCGUAUGCUAAUCCCAAAAUCCUCUCUCAGUUCGGAUCGAAGUCUGCAACCCGACUUCGUGAAGCUGGAUUCGCUAGUAAUCGCGCAUCAGCCACGGCGCGGUGAAUACGUUCCCGGGCCUUGUACACACCGCCCGUCAAGCCAUGGGAGCCGGGGGUACCUGAAGUACGUAACCGCAAGGAUCGUCCUAGGGUAAAACUGGUGACUGGGGCUAAGUCAUAAC